rnacentral:rRNA from 1 species
GACGAACGCUGGCGGCGUGCUUAACACAUGCAAGUCGAACGGGAAGGCCCUGCUUUUGUGGGGUGCUCGCGUGGCGAACGGGUUAGUAACACGUGCGUCACCUGCCCUUGACUUUGGGAUAACCUCAGGAAACUGUGGCUAAUACCCGAUAGGAGCUCCUGCUGCAUGGUGGGGGUUGGAAAGUUUCGGCGGUUGGGGAUGGACUCGCGACUUAUCAGCUUGUUGGUUGGGUAGUGGCUUACCAAGGCUUUGACGGGUAGCCGGCCUGCGAGGGUGACCGGCCAUAUUGGGUCUGAGAUACGCCCAAGCCUCCUUCGGGAGGCAGCAGUGGGGAAUAUUGCACAAUGGGCGGAAGCCUGAUGCAGCAACGCCACGUGUGGGAUGACGGCCUUCGGGUUGUAAACCGCUUUCGCCUGUGACGAAGCGUGAGUGACGGUAAUGGGUAAAGAAGCACCGGCUAACUACGUG